CUGGUUAGUACUGGGAUGGGAGACCACCAGGAAAUCGCAGG
rnacentral:rRNA from 1 species